GAUGAACGCUGGCGGCGUGCCUAAUACAUGCAAGUCGAGCGAACGGACGAGAAGCUUGCUUCUCUGAUGUUAGCGGCGGACGGGUGAGUAACACGUGGAUAACCUACCUAUAAGACUGGGAUAACUUCGGGAAACCGUAGCUAAUACCGGAUAAUAUUUUGAACCGCAUGGUUCAAAAGUGAAAGACGGUCUUGCUGUCACUUAUAGAUGGAUCCGCGCUGCAUUAGCUAGUUGGUAAGGUAACGGCUUACCAAGGCAACGAUGCAUAGCCGACCUGAGAGGGUGAUCGGCCACACUGGAACUGAGACACGGUCCAGACUCCUACGGGAGGCAGCAGUAGGGAAUCUUCCGCAAUGGGCGAAAGCCUGACGGAGCAACGCCGCGUGAGUGAUGAAGGUCUUCGGAUCGUAAAACUCUGUUAUUAGGGAAGAACAUAUGUGUAAGUAACUGUGCACAUCUUGACGGUACCUAAUCAGAAAGCCACGGCUAACUACGUGCCAGCAGCCGCGGUAAUACGUAGGUGGCAAGCGUUAUCCGGAAUUAUUGGGCGUAAAGCGCGCGUAGGCGGUUUUUUAGUCUGAUGUGAAAGCCCACGGCUCAACCGUGGAGGGUCAUUGGAAACUGGAAAACUUGAGUGCAGAAGAGGAAAGUGGAAUUCCAUGUGUAGCGGUGAAAUGCGCAGAGAUAUGGAGGAACACCAGUGGCGAAGGCGACUUUCUGGUCUGUAACUGACGCUGAUGUGCGAAAGCGUGGGGAUCAAACAGGAUUAGAUACCCUGGUAGUCCACGCCGUAAACGAUGAGUGCUAAGUGUUAGGGGGUUUCCGCCCCUUAGUGCUGCAGCUAACGCAUUAAGCACUCCGCCUGGGGAGUACGACCGCAAGGUUGAAACUCAAAGGAAUUGACGGGGACCCGCACAAGCGGUGGAGCAUGUGGUUUAAUUCGAAGCAACGCGAAGAACCUUACCAAAUCUUGACAUCCUUUGACAACUCUAGAGAUAGAGCUUUCCCCUUCGGGGGACAAAGUGACAGGUGGUGCAUGGUUGUCGUCAGCUCGUGUCGUGAGAUGUUGGGUUAAGUCCCGCAACGAGCGCAACCCUUAAGCUUAGUUGCCAUCAUUAAGUUGGGCACUCUAAGUUGACUGCCGGUGGCAAACCGGAGGAAGGUGGGGGUGACGUCAAAUCAUCAUGCCCCUUAUGAUUUGGGCUACACACGUGCUACAAUGGACAAUACAAAGGGCAGCGAAACCGUGAGGUCAAGCAAAUCCCAUAAAGUUGUUCUCAGUUCGGAUUGUAGUCUGCAACUCGACUACAUGAAGCUGGAAUCGCUAGUAAUCGUAGAUCAGCAUGCUACGGUGAAUACGUUCCCGGGUCU
rnacentral:rRNA from 1 species